rnacentral:ncRNA from 1 species
GUCUGAAAAAGGCUACCCCGUUGAAAGGCGGGCAACGCAAAGCUACCGGUCUAAAGAGCGUGAAGACUCUAUGACAGCGGGGUUACCGGA